rnacentral:rRNA from 1 species
UACGGAGGGUGCGAGCGUUAAUCGGAAUUACUGGGCGUAAAGCGCACGCAGGCGGUUUGUUAAGCUAGAUGUGAAAGCCCCGGGCUCAACCUGGGANGGUCAUUUAGAACUGGCAGACUAGAGUCUUGGAGAGGGGAGUGGAAUUCCAGGUGUAGCGGUGAAAUGCGUAGAUAUCUGGAGGAACAUCAGUGGCGAAGGCGACUCCCUGGCCAAAGACUGACGCUCAUGUGCGAAAGUGUGGGUAGCGAGCAGG